ensembl:lncRNA
UGGGCGGCGGGAGAACGCCGGGGUGUCCGGGGGCUGUGCAGGGCCCUGCUGCCAGGCCUCCGCCGCUGUGGGGCUGUUUGUGUGUCCUCUUGAACGUUAAGGUGGUGCGAGGUCAACGGGUCUAGCUGGGCCACCACGGCACCACAAACGUGCGCUCUGGGUGCUCGGCGCGGCCAGCCUGGCUCUCCGUCUUUCCAGGGCCGUGAUGCCUCCAGGUCUCACCCGACAGGGCUGCGCGGGUAGAAGUGAGCCGCGGCGGCCCGGGAUGUCUGCGCUGUGCUCGAGUGCCAAGGUAGCUCAGGUAGAAAGCUGCAAACCGCAGGAAUUAAUCUUUGCGGACAAAGGCUUCCCUGCUAAGGACUGGUCUGGAUUCGAGGAUGCACUUGAAGCUGCAGGCUGUAUGUGAGCAGAGGCACUUCCAGGGAUCAAAGUGUUGUGCUCCUUGGCUUGUGAGACAGAAUGACCGCAGGUGCUGCAAGACAGCAGGAAAUCACCUCUGU